GAGGUACUCCCUCCGUUUCGAAUUACUCGUCGCAGAAAUAGAUGUAUCUAGAUGUAUUUUAGUUCUAGAUACAUCCAUUUUUACGACGAGUAAUUUGGAACGAAAAGAGUAGUAU
rfam:Triticum aestivum genome assembly, contig: Triticum_aestivum_CS42_TGACv1_scaffold_392748_5AS